rnacentral:misc_RNA from 1 species
CGGGUUCGGGCAUUGGGUCUUGUGGUGUCCCGUCUGCCGGCAGUUGAAACAUUGCCCAGGCCGAACACGCUGGUGCGUGGCGUCUUCCCCGGACGGAUAUUUCCGGACGGCGGGUUCGGGGCCGAGCUGGCAAGAUUUUCCUUCUACGCGGACAGGCGUUUGUGACGGAGGUACGCGAUUCGGGGCCGUGGUCGGGAUCGGUAGAGGGGUUGGUGGCGAGGUCGGUAGCGGUAGCGGUAGCGGGAGCGGUAGCGGGGUCGGUAGCGGUAGCGGGAGUGGGGUUGGGUCCUCGGCCAGGAAUACGUCUAUCUCCAUGACAGUGGAAUCGCCUGACUCGGGAGGCGGUGACGGGUACGGGAGAGGUACGCACCCGAAUGAAAGUUCGAGUGUUGGUUCGAGUUGUGCCGGGGUCGGUUGCGAUCGGAGGAAAACUCGUGAGUCGCGUUUAGAGCCUCGAUCGGGUCCUCGUACGGGUCUAGAUGGGCUAGCACCGGGCGCGGUUG